GUGCUUGCUUUGGCAGCACAUAUACUAAAAUUGGAACGAUACAGAGAAGAUUAACAUGGCCCCUACACGAGAAUGACACGGAAAUUCAUGAAGCAUUCCAUAUUAUU
ensembl:snRNA U6 U6 spliceosomal RNA